GCGCCCGUAGCUCAGAGGAUAGAGCAGCGGUUUCCUAAACCGCGAGCCGCAGGUUCGAUUCCUGCCGGGCGCACCA
rnacentral:tRNA from 1 species